ensembl:ncRNA F45H7.8 ncRNA
GUCACAUUUUCGUACAAGAAUCGUGUCGCCUACUGUAUGGCACGUGCUUCACCGGGUUCACCAAAUUGCAAAUGACACUGACGAUAACAAUCUUCUUCUUUUCUUCGUCUUUUAUUGUACCCGAAAAUCGAAAACAAAUGUACGCGCCCAGAAGUUUGGCGAUCAGUUUUCAGACAAACUAUUCGAGU